rnacentral:miRNA from 1 species
GCAGACACAUUCCAGCCAAUCAACAGCAGACCCUCCCUCCCAGACCCUCCCACCUCCUGGACAGCAUCCAUUUUACAUUCAUUGUGAAGCUGCAUUUUUAAUGAGCUGUCCAGGAGGUGGGAGGGUCUGGGAGGGAGGGUCUGCUGUUGAUUGGCUGGAAUGUGUCUG